rnacentral:rRNA from 1 species
AUUGAACGCUGGCGGCAUGCCUUACACAUGCAAGUCGAACGGCAGCAUGAUCUAGCUUGCUCGAUUGAUGGCGAGUGGCGAACGGGUGAGUAAUACAUCGGAACGUGCCCUGUAGUGGGGGAUAACUAGUCGAAAGAUUAGCUAAUACCGCAUACGACCUGAGGGUGAAAGUGGGGGACCGCAAGGCCUCAUGCUAUAGGAGCGGCCGAUGUCUGAUUAGCUAGUUGGUGAGGUAAAGGCUCACCAAGGCGACGAUCAGUAGCUGGUCUGAGAGGACGAUCAGCCACACUGGGACUGAGACACGGCCCAGACUCCUACGGGAGGCAGCAGUGGGGAAUUUUGGACAAUGGGCGAAAGCCUGAUCCAGCAAUGCCGCGUGUGUGAAGAAGGCCUUCGGGUUGUAAAGCACUUUUGCCCGGAAAGAAAUGGCUCUGGUUAAUACCUGGGGUCGAUGACGGUACCGGAAGAAUAAGGACCGGCUAACUACGUG